ensembl:lncRNA novel transcript
GCUGACUCAUUCCCAUGGACGGGGAGAAGGGGAGGAAGCUCCUAUAGAAGGUGCCCAGCCCUGGGAAGGCAUUCAGCUCUGUGAAUAAAAGCAUUCUGCUGAUUUCUGCUGCCCUGUAUCCAGACGGAAGGAAUGGAUCCAUGUUGCAGCUGGGAGCAUGGGGAAAUCUGGACACGCACUUCACCAAAAUGAGACAACUGUGGCAGGAGACAGGCUAAGCUGAAGAAAUGGAGGUGCUACUGGCUCAAGGAACCUGGAUUCAUUUAGAGAGUGUGCCCAGGAUGAGACGUGUGGAGAGCCUGGCCUGAACCAACACUAACAGUCUCCUGGACAGGAGGUCCUAAAAAUCAGGAAAAGUUUGAGAAACUGUCACAACCAAGAGGAGCCUGAGGAGAUGUGAUGACUAAACACAACGGACGGAGUCUUGCUCUGUCACCCAGGCUGGAGAGCAGUAGUGCAAUCUCAGCUCACUGCAACCUCCACCUCCCAGGUUCAAGUGAUUCUCCUGCCUCAGCCUCCCGAGUAGCUGGGAUUACAGAUAAGAAAAUGGAGGUCACGAGCUGGAGAACUCCUUGCUCAAGUUGCAUAGCUAAUAAGGGACUUAGCUGGGAUUCCUGGCCAGCAGUGUGGCUCCAGGCCUGGUUUCUAACUUCCCCUUGUUGGCAACCACCUUCACAGAGGAAUGCAAGAGAAUAACUGGGAGAUGAAACAGGAAGCUCUAUGACACACUUGAUCGAAUAUGACAGACACUGAAAAUCACGACUCAUCCCCCUCCAGCACCUCUACCUGUUGCCCGCCGAUCACAGCCGGAAUGCAGCUGAAAGAUUCCCUGGGGCCUGGUUCCAACUGCCCACUGUGGACUCUGAGGCCUCUGCAUUUGCGGGUGGUCUGCCUGUGAUAUUUUGGUCAUGGGCUGGUCUGGUCGGUUUCCCAUUUGUCUGGCCAGUCUCUGUGUGUCUUAAUCCCUUGUCCUUCAUUAAAAGCAAAA